rnacentral:miRNA from 4 species
UUGUCGGCUGACCGGUUGUUUGGU